rnacentral:rRNA from 1 species
AAAUUGAAGAGUUUGAUCAUGGCUCAGAUUGAACGCUGGCGGCAGGCCUAACACAUGCAAGUCGAACGGUAACAGGAAGAAGCUUGCUUCUUUGCUGACGAGUGGCGGACGGGUGAGUAAUGUCUGGGAAACUGCCUGAUGGAGGGGGAUAACUACUGGAAACGGUAGCUAAUACCGCAUAACGUCGCAAGACCAAAGAGGGGGACCUUCGGGCCUCUUGCCAUCGGAUGUGCCCAGAUGGGAUUAGCUUGUUGGUGGGGUAACGGCUCACCAAGG